ensembl:lncRNA
CCCGUUGGUUUGAAGGCUAUCUUAUCUAUGUGGCAGAAACGCACAUUUUGGAGUUUACCACUAGAAAUACUAUUUAAACCCCAGAGGAGUAAGUUUAAGUGGAGAUCAGAAGACCCUGGAGUUCUCUGAAACAAGUGCAGGAAAAGAUGCUGUCACCAAGUCGUAUCCCACUCUUCGCGACCCCGUGGACUGCAGCACGCCAGGCUUCCCUGUCCAUCACCAGCUCCAGGAAUUUGCCCAAGUUCAUGUCCAUUUGAAUUGGGCAAUUCUUUCCUAACACCCUUCUGUGUUGUUGAAAUGGCAUUCUCCAUGGGCAUCUCAAUGAACACAAGGCGCCUCCAUCAUGGGCCCUGUCACAGGAAUGCAGAGCUGAACCUUUUAAACAUGAGAAGGUACUAAGGAAGAUCUCUCUGAAGGAAAGAUAGGAAACAAGUGGCACCGAAUCAGAAGCUGAGGACAUCGUAAAAGUAAACUCUGAAGGCAUUUAUUGUCUGACCAUAGCUAAUGAACCAGUGAGGAAUCAGCAUCAAUAAGAAGCAAAUUAAACACCAGCUCCAGUUAAUUAGUAACCACAGCUGCCUGCUUUCCUACAUUCAAUUUCAGACUCACAUUAUGAAUUGCCUCCCUGGAGAAACCAGCCCCCUCCUCCCCCAAAAAGCCUUG